rnacentral:lncRNA from 1 species
CCAUACACAGUUAUUUUAGCAGAUAUUCUAAACCCUAGCAUAUUCCCAGAUGCAGAAUACAUAUAUUAGUAUAUGUUCACCUCUAUCCCAUUCCCCACAUUAAAUUCCAUUUCAGAUGACCUUAAACAACUAGUUAACUUCCAAAUACAUACAUUCUGCUGCCCAUAACACAUUUGACCCUUAAUAUCAAUCAAAGCCAAAUAUUAAGGGAUAUAAAAUUCUAGCUUAGACUAUAACAGAAUCUCUCAAGCUCAAGGAAACAACCAAACCAUAUAUGUUUAAAAAAAUCAGAAUUACUAACUAAAUAUUGAACUCACCUGUAGGAUUAACAUAUAAGUAACUUGACUAUAAGAAACUACAUCAAACCCUCAGCAAGCUAAAACAAAGGGACAUCAGUAGUUCAGCUUAAACUAUUUUUACAAUCAAGAGAAAAGACUAAUAUAACAUGCUUAAAAUUAAACUAUUAUAUAGUGCUAAAGAAAUAGAGGAAACAUGAAAAUAAAACUCACUAGCAGCUUGUAUUCAACAUGUUUCGCAUUCAAAUUGCAGAUUUGCAUUUCACAUGUUGUCUAUGGUUCCAAAAAUACCUGGAAAUCAAAGAAAGUAAGAAGAAUGAGGGAUCAACAGUAGCAAAAGUGUAUCAGCAGCAAUGUAACAGUGUUAACACAGCAAAACAAACCCAAACUUCAAAAUCAGCUCCAAACGAUUCAAACCAGAUGCAUGAUUUGGGAUUUUGAGAAACUCUAAUUAACCAGAGGAAACCAAAGAACCAAAACUAGGCCAAUUUUCCGCAAUUGUUCAGUAUUGUUGAGUUUUUUUAGGGACUUCAGCCGUCUCUCAAAUUUUCAGUAUUUUUAGCUUUCUAAAAUCCCUCCAAUCUAACUUGUUAGUGAAGAAACUACCCUUUUAUAAGGAAGUUUUAGGGCAACAUAAAAUAAUUCAAACUUUGCCCAUUAGUCCUUUUGCAAUUUUCGUUUUUGCUCCUAUACCCUUAGUUUAAAAAUCAGGUUUCUAAAAUAACCCCAAACCCACCUUCCUGGAAGUUUUCCCAGUCAGCUAUUAAAGAUUCCCUUGCCUAAAAUUCCGAAACUAACCCUUAAGGCCCCUGUUUUUACCCCUGACACCAAACGGGUCAAAUUGACCCAAGGCAAACCAGACAUGGGCCUUUAAAAACCCGAGCUAAUCCCUUCUUUGGCUUCUGAUUUUCAAAGCCUAAAACUCAAAUCAAACUAAAAAAACCUACAGAAUAAUAGAGUAAACAGAAUUGCCAAAAUCAGCAUUCUUUUUCUUUUAAAAAAAUGAAAUAAACAAAAGCAAGGACUAACACGAAAAUUAAAGACAAUAUGCACUUAACAGGUUUUCUUUUCUUUUAACUUCAAGCAUGCAAACAGAAAUUGGUUCGAACAAAACAAAUAGAAAAAAUGAAAAAUAAUAAGGAAAAUAAAGGAUGAAACAGAAGGAGAUGGAGACGAGAAAUAAAAAAUGAAAAAAUGAAGAAUAGAAAGAAAAAUUACCUAAGGGGACAGUCUGGACAGUAGAAAUUGAACAAUCUUCACACUUUCGAAUUUUGGUUGAGAUUGACAUUAAAAGUGUGUUCUUGUCAAAAACACACGAAUAACAUCAAUUUUGACCCUAAUCCUUCACUGAAAUCUCGAUUUGGGGUUUUUGGGAUUUUAGGGUUCGAAACUUUGAUUCAUGAUUCGAAGAAUCCUAGGGUGAUUCGAUGGAAAUCAAUUAAGGAUUAAGAAAGAGGAAGCCAUGAGGGUUUUGUGGUGUUAAUUUGGAGUCGAUUAGGGGUGGCACCACCACCGGCGGUGGCAGGAAUUUUGGGGUGGCGGAUUAGGGUUAGAUGUUUUUCUGAGGGAGAUGAAGUGAAU